rnacentral:tRNA from 1 species
GCCGAUGUAGCACAGUGGUAGAGCAACUCCAUGGUAAGGAGUAGGUCGUGGGUUCAACUCCCACCAUCGGCU